CUGUCUAGCUGGUGUAGGCGUUCCUUCUGGAAGAUGCAGUUCAGGAUACUACUGCCCUGAAGGAACAAUGUAUGGUACCCAAUUUCCUUGCCCUAGGGGAACCUACAGCAUUAAAAUGGGUAAUGGUGGAAAGGAGGAUUGUGUUGUAUGCCCUGAAGGCUAUUACUGCAAGGAAGGUUCAUCUAAACCCGUACCCUGCCCUCCAACAACAUUUCGCCAAUUUAAAGGAGGCCAAAGGCCGGAGGAUUGCACUGUGUGUCCAGCUGGCUACUUCUGUCCCCACUCAGCCACAGUUUACCCCAGAG